rnacentral:rRNA from 1 species
UACGUAGGGUGCGAGCGUUGUCCGGAAUUACUGGGCGUAAAGGGCUCGUAGGCGGCCAACUAAGUCAGACGUGAAAUCCCUCGGCUUAACCGGGGAACUGCGUCUGAUACUGGAUGGCUUGAGUUUGGGAGAGGGAUGCGGAAUUCCAGGUGUAGCGGUGAAAUGCGUAGAUAUCUGGAGGAACACCGGUGGCGAAGGCGGCAUCCUGGACCAAUACUGACGCUGAGGAGCGAAAGCCAGGGGAGCAAACGGG